UGCUGCCCACCCCGGUGGCAGUGCUGGCACCUCUCUGUUUCCUCUCUCUUCUCUUCUUUGCUCUCCAUGUUAUGUGACUCGUUUUUCUUUAGUAGCCGUUGCCUGAAUUGAUCUUCAAGUUGUUGACACAGAAACAACUCCUGUUCCAAAGGACUCUACGCGUAACGUUGAAGACCUGUUGCCAGAAGGUUUCUUUCCUUUGCCUGGCAGUUUUUUCCUUGAUUCUUUGUUGGAACGCUCACUGAAUUACCCGGCAUUGAUCCUCGACGUCAUUGUGGUGACUGCGUCGCACCCGCAACCCUAGCGGGCAGGGAGUGCUGUGUUUGGGGGAUCUGCACCUGCACUCCCCUUCUGCUGUCCUUUCUUCCCUGUAGCCUCGCUUGCUUUUGCAUUUGCACUUCUCUUAGGCUCUUGGUUCUUCCCUGUAUUCUCCCUGCUUUUCCGUCUGCAUUCUCACUCUUUUCCUGUUUUUUCUCUUCUGCUUCUCUUCUGCUGUUCUAUCCUCUGUGUAUCCUCACUGCUCUUUCAUCUCUAUCCUUGCUCUUCAGCGUUUUUUUCCCCUGCUUCCUCUCCGUACUUCGUCUGCCCUGCUUUUCUUCCCUGUAACGUGACGUCUCUUUUCUUCUGCAUCGGCUCUCCUCCUCCUCUUUCUUCCCUGUAUUCUCACUGCUCAUUCUCGGGCAGCUGUGCUCCUCUUCUGUUCUUUCCUCCUUGUAUCCUCACUCUUCUGAUGGUUUCCAUUGCAUCUCACCACUGCUCUUUCACCUGCAUCUGCUUUUCUCUUCUGCUGUAUGUUUCCCUGCUUCCUCACUCCUCUUUCUUCUGCAUUGGCUCUACUCUUCUGCUCUUCUUUCUUCCCUCACUCUUUUUCCAUCUGCCCACCUCUUAGGCUCUCCCUUCUUUUCUAUCCUCCCUGCUCUUUCCUCUGCAUUCUCACUCUUCUCCUGUUCUUAUUCCCCUGCAUCAUCCUCACUCCUUUUCCCUCUGCAUCAGCACUGCUCUUCUGUUGGA
rnacentral:lncRNA from 7 species